ACACAACCAAGGGUGCGGUGGUGCGGGAACAGCCAGCCACUCUAUCUCCCAAGCUCCCGCCACUCCACAUCUCAGGUUCCCUCUGCCUUCCCUUCCCUUCACUCCCUUCCUUCCUUUCUUUUCUCCUCAACUGUGUUUCACCAACUGAACUGAUUAUAACUGUACAAAGUUGACAAGAUUCAAAAGUGGUUUGGGUAAAAGAGACUCAAUCCUAGAGGGGCAUUUGAUUCCAAAAGGGAAGAAGACGUACUUCAUCUGGAACAUCGUGAAGUCACAGAAGAACUUCACAAGUGUUCCGAUCGGAAGGGAGCCCUUUGAGUAAGUGAAAUGAAGCGUGAAUAACUGCCUAAUUAGUGGACAUGAAAACUGGACAGUCUCCAAAGUCAUCAGAGAUGACCACGCUUGCCAGGCAACUUACUAGACUAAGGGUGACGUGCCCAUCAUGCAGGAAGCUUCUCCAAGGCUGGCGAGAGCAACUUGUCUGCUUUGAGAAAUGCAGAUCUAUCAGGAUCCAGAAUCGGACUCUGAAAAAGCUGUCAUUUCAUGUCUCUAAAACAGCCUUUGAUUUAAUGUACAAGAUGUCAAGAAGUAAAGGACAAUAAAAUAAAAACCAAAAAAGGAGAACUAUUUCAAUUAAGAAGCAUUCCUAUAUCAAUUCUUGGAAAUCACAUAAAAUAAAAGCUGUCAGAAUCAA
rnacentral:lncRNA from 1 species